rnacentral:rRNA from 2 species
GCCAGCAGCCAUAUGACCCUGCAACUCAGAACUGGCAACCCACUGAAGCUAAGCAAGUGUGAGCCUGGUCAGUACCUGAAUGGGAGACCUCCUGGAAAACACUAAGGUUGCUGCUGGAA